rnacentral:tRNA from 1 species
GCUCGUCGUGGCCGACGGGGCGCAGGCGGGCGGUGAGGUCGCCCUCGGCCAUACGCCUGGCGGCGGUUCCGAGGUCGCGCACCGGCC